CAGCCAUUUCAUAGUGAAACACCAGUUCUCAUCUGAUCACUGAAGUUAAGCAAUUUUGAACCUGGUCAAGCCUAGAUGGGUGACUACUUGUGAAUACUAGGUACUGUAA